UUUUUUUUUAUUUAUUUAUUUCACGGACACACUUAGCUUGAAGCGUGUGUUGUAUUUCAUUAAACCGAAAUGUAUGUAAUAAUCAACGUAAAAUGUACGUACAAGCAGCUAAGUUUCAUUCGGAACCUCUUUGUGUGCCUCGUGUCAUGAUUUUUUUUUUGACCCUAGCAUGAUGUCUCUGUUUGGUUUGGUGGUGUAUGUAUCCAGCCACUUCGUUGAGGACUGGGUCAGGAUCGGCUCCCCUGCCAAGGCGAAGGUGCACAAAGAGCAUGCCUCAGUGCCGUUCGAUGACCAGUGCUCCAUCCUGGAGAAGGUACGUACACCGUAUGUACACGCAUUGCAUGAAUGCAAUGAGUUGAUUUUGCUCACAAAAGGGACCUUGUAUUUUUCUGAAUGUUUCUGCAGGAGGCCGUGAACGUGUCCCUCGCCAACCUCAAGACUUACCCCUUCGUCAAGGAACGGCUGGCCAAAGGGACCCUCAAGCUGGUCGGCGCCCACUACGACUUCGUGUCCGGGAAGUUCCUCACAUGGGAGCCUGUAGGGUUCAUAACCUUCAUCCUUACAUUUUCAAUUGUACAUACUGUAUCUGAGACCACAUGGUUUUACCUCCUGGCACACUCCAGAUCCAAACUUCCUAUCCAUUUUCUCUCCUUCCUUGCCAUCGCAAUUAAUUUCUUUCUAAGAAGAACAAAAUCACCACCAAAUCCAACCACAACACUUGAAAUCCGCCCCAUGCAUAGCACUUGAAACCAGCCCCAACAUCUUAAUUGACCUACUUCUCAUCUUCUUCGGAUAUAAGAAGAUUGAACCCUAUCUCCACCGCAAAUACAUAUAUCGCGUUCACCCGCUACAAACUUCUAGUCCAGUUGUCGCCUGGUCCUCUAUCCGCUUCAAUUAGGCUUGCCGUUGCAUCGAAUUUCUAACCUCGUUGGUGCACCAGGCUCGUCUGUGGUGAUGGAUAUGAGGCCAUGGCCAUCGAGGUCCAUCUACCACAAAGAUGCCACUGCCUUUUUCCAUGGCCACCAUGGUUUGCCGAAUCAGUUGUCCCCCGAGGAAGCAAUCAUCAUGUUGGAGUCGUUCUUCUCUACAAAACGUGCUCAAGUAGCCAUCGACAUUCCGCUUAAGCGAUAUAUAUUGUCCACAAAAGCUGUGCUUGACCGUUACUCAUUUUUCAUCAAAUCCCGCGUUGUGCGGUGUCUCUUUCUCUCACUAAAACGAUUGCACAUGUCAUCAUGUUGAUGUUGCUAGUAAUCUAGACAAUGGGGCAGCUCAAAAGGUGAACGAGAGAGAUAUAGAGAGAAAGGGAGGGAGGGAGGGCCACACCGCAUCUAUCCAUCUGACUAUAAGGGGGCAAAAGAAGAAAAGAGGAGAAGAUGAGAAGUUGCAUUUGCCUCCCUGUUAUAUAUCAAAGGAGGGUCAAUGAAGCCGUCCAUAGAUUCCCACACCUCGUCACUCCUUGAGAACCAGAAGCCCACCCCAUCCAGUCCAAGGUCCGUUCCCUCAUCCUCCUCCCUCACCCUCGCCAUCAUCCUUCACAUAGCACACACAGUAAUCUUUGUCCGUCCCUCUGUUUUCUUUUCCUCUAUUGCCAUCAUGAGCCUGCAACUUCUGCUUUCUCCCUAUGUUGUAUUGUGUUGGUGCAAAGAAGAUCCAUCUUCCCCUUUUUGAUCAUAUUUUAUGCAUGCUUUCCUUAUGGUCCGUGGCAAGGAGGCCAAGCAUUGGCAUCAUGCCCCUUCUAUCUCUCUCUACCCCCUCAUGCCCCUUCUCUUUCUCUCUCUACCCCCGUCAUGCUGCAUCACGAUCAUGAGUAUGCAAGUUGGUCUUUCCGGGAUGGCAAAAUGACCGAUGGUUUUCUGGUUGUUGGUCUUGUAGGUGAUGGACGCCGUUGACCGCUUGAAGAGCGGGUUCGAGCAGUUCAAGAUCGAGGUCUAUGAGUAAGUCAUCUCUCUACUUAGAGCUGUUGUUUUUUUAAUUUGUAGCACCCAUGUUUGGUUUAAUAUUUUCAGUUUCAACCACUUGAUUUAUUUUGGGAAUUCUGAGAGCUCCGACUGAUACUGCCAUGUUGUCUUUUUUCUGCAGCAAGAAGCCAGAGCUUUUUGAGCCUCUCAAAUCUGGCCAGGCCCCCAGGGUAUGUGUAGGGAUGAAAAUGGAUCAAAUUUGUAUAGAAUCAAAUCCAUAUAUCACCUCUUAACACAUUUUUAUUCAAAUUCAGUUAUUGGAUACAUAUACUUUUGAAUACAAAUAUAAAACAAAUGUCUUGAAUCUGUAUUUCUAUUCAAAGAUUUACUCAAUUCAACUCAAAUUGUAUAUUGCUAAAUUCAACGUACAUGUAUACAAUUUUACUACUAAAUUCAUCGAUAAACCUUUUUUGCUUUAUCAAUUUUUUAGGUUUACAAACUAUUAUAUUGAAACAUUUGUGUAUAUAAUUUAAAAUGAAUGGUGACAGCUUGUCGCCAUUAGCGGCCAAUUGGCAAGUACUAGUAGUAGUCUGUUGGAUAUAAUCCCUCCAUCCUAAAUAUAUGCAGAAAUCAUCUAUUGAGGAGUAAUUCUUUUUUUCAGUUUAACUAAAAGUAUAAUUUAUUUCGAAAAAAUACUAAAUGCUCAAUCUAAUGAUAUUUAUUAUACACUAUAAACAUUAAUAUAUUUUUAAUAUAAAUAUAAUUAAAAUUUAAAAAUUUGAAGUUUCAUAAAGCGAGAUGUACAGUUAUUUUGGGACAAAAGAAAUAGUCCUAUAAUUAUUUUGUACUACAAAAGUCUGCUCCAUAGGGCACAAGCUUCAACUUUGGCACUACUAGUCAUAGGCUCAUUGCGCAAAGAAAUGGUGGUGGGAGUGGGAUACAUACAUGCUCCUUCUUUUCCCGAUCGAUCGACCUGAUGCUGAUUAUUUUCCUCUGCUGCAUGCAUGCAGUACAUGGUGUUCGCCUGCGCUGACUCCCGUGUGUGCCCGUCGGUGACCCUGGGCCUGAUGCCCGGCGAGGCCUUCACCGUCCGCAACAUCGCCGCCCUGGUCCCAGGCUACGACAAGGUACGUACACACUGACCGUCGUCGCCGACGACACAAAAUGGCCGUCUAUUUCUCCUCGGCCCGGCCGGCCGCCGCCGGCCGGGCAUGACAGAGGAUCGAGGACUGACACGGCCGCGCCUUUCGUAUUCGUCACCUGCAGACCAAGUACACCGGCAUCGGGUCCGCCAUCGAGUACGCCGUGUGCGCCCUCAAGGUGCAGGUGCUCGUCGUCAUUGGCCAUAGCUGCUGCGGUGGCAUCAGGGCGCUCCUCUCCCUCCAGGACGGUGCACCUGACAACUUGUAAGACGCCACCGUAAAAUAUACAAAGUUUCAUUAAGAUAAAACAAAAAUUCUUUUGUACCUCUAUGAUGAUUUUGAUCCCAGCGCAUUUUUAUCUGUUGUUUUUUUUGUGGUGUAUCCAGCCACUUUGUUGAGGACUGGGUCAAGAUUGGCUUCCCUGCCAAGAUGAAGGUGAAGAAAGAGAACGCUUCGGUGCCGUUCGAUGACCAAUGCUACAUUCUAGAGAAGGUAUGUACACCGUACAUGCACGAGCAGUUAGUUGCUGCAUGAAUGGAUUAAUUUUUGCUCACCGGAGAACCUUGUAUUUCUGAAAAUGUUUCUGCAGGAGGCCGUGAAUGUGUCCUUGGAGAACCUCAAGACCUACCCAUUCGUCAAGGAAGGGCUGGCCAACGGUACCUUAAAGCUGGUCGGCGGCCACUAUGACUUCGUGAAAGGAGAGUUCCUCACAUGGAAAGUCUAGAGCUAAGGCACCCGGACGGCCCAACUCCUACAUCAUCAUAAAUUUAUACCACAUAUAUACCUACCGAUAUGCACCCGAUCGAUGCGAAUGCGCGGAGUACUACAUGCAUGUUUUCAGCAACUACAUAUAUACAUACCGGAUCGCCCCAAUGUGAAUGUAAUAAGCAAUAGCAUUUUCAACCGCUUUCAUUUCUAACGCCGAGCUUUUAUGUACUAUAUAUAUAAUAUGAUGCAUAAUUGACCGGCUUGUGGUCAAAAGACAUCAACUAUAAUCCUUUUUUCAUAAUAUUGUUAUGAAGAGUUUACCUCUUUUUUUUGUCAUUAACGGAUCCAGAGAAACAGGCCAGGAGGGCAACACGCCAACACCCUCCGUCCUAAAAUAGAGUGCAUUCUGACAUUUAAGAUGUGUCCCAAAAUAUAGUACAUUCAAGGAACAUGAAGAUAAUAUUUACUUAAAUAAAGUUACGGAAGAGGAAAGUAAUUGAGUGCUUACUAUAUUUUCUAUAAGAAAACUUAGAUUGCAACCUUUAAUCAUACGAAUAAGAUCAUAUUUCAAUAUAUUAGAAAGUUAAGUGAGUAGUACAUGCGUCUAUUGUUUUUUCUCUCUCUCUCUUAUUUUGUCUUAAAUAGCCAUAACGCACUGUAUUGCAGAGCGGAGGGAGUACUUUGGAAGCAUCAAGAGCAAAAUCCAAGGAUGGAAAGCCCCAUAUGAACAACUAAGAUGAUAACUAGAAAUCAUACUCGCCAUACACGAGUACUUUGGAAGCAAGAAGAGCAAAAAUCCAAGGAUAGAAAGCCCCAUAUAAACAACUAAGAUGAUAACCAGAAUUCAUACUCGCCAUACACCAAUAGAUCUAACAAACAGCACUCAAUUCAAAAUGCUUAAUUAGACAAUACAUCAUUAAUGAUAGAAAGGUACUUAAUAAAUAGCUUCCGAUAAUUAAAUGAUCAAAUAUGUUUCACAAUUUCACACCACUUGAACAAGCAUCCUCCAAUCUACAUACAAAAUAAAAUAUCAUGGUUCUUCAAACAACAUGAUAAUAUUAUGGAUUGAAAUGAACUUAUACAACACACACCUUGGUCCCUUGUGUGGCAAAUUUAUCUACAAAUUCUUAAGACCUGUAAGCGGUUACACACUGUCCACACAUGUUCUACGCUUUAAUCAAUUUGAUUGGUUAUCAAACCAUUAUUGAACAAAACCUCUUGAUUAACUUUUAGUUUUACUCUCUUUUGUUGUUCUUUUAGUUUUACCCUCUUUCGUCUAGAGACGACGACUCCUUUCCCUAUUUCUCGCGAGGAUUCCUCUAUUAGGGGACAGAGAUAAGACCAAAUUAACCCCCAUAGGUAACUAAACAGAACCAAAUCUAUCCACUUGUAUCUACUGGGGCUGGGGCCGGGAAGCUUUCCUCGUACCUGCUCCUUGUCAAGCCCUCUUUAGCCGACUCUUCAUCUAGCUAUCAAUCUGACACAAUUGCAUCCAUCCAUCUUUGAUUCUUAUCUUAUACUAGAUAAUGGCUCGUGUAUUGUUGUGCACACACAAAAUUUUAAUCGAAUAACUUUUUUUACCAAAAUGAACUAAAAUAAACUUUUAUAUAGGUAUAAAAUUUAAAUUCAGCAUGACAUAGAAUUACCUAUAUUUCAAGUUUUGAGAUCCUUUGCAAUUGAAAAAAAAGGUAUUACACUUUAAUAAACCGUACGUAUCCACAUAUUGUGUUUUGGUGGGGUUCGAAGCAGAAUCCAUGGUGACCUUUGUGUUACAAGCAUUUUAACACCGACCUAGAUAUCAAAAAUCAAGUCCAAAAUAGUAAAAUUGACCAUAACAGUUGGAAUAAAAACGCAGCUUUAGCUUGAAAUAACUUGCAGGUAUUCAUGAUCAGAUUGAUCAAGAUAUUCAUGAUCAAGGAACGCACAAGGAAAAUGCUGAGUACAACCAAACUUGUACAGUUGUACUUAAGUAACAAUGACCUAUACAAUUGACUUAUACCAUUGACUUUUACCUGUACAGUUGCAAUCAAGUAUGGUACUUAUUUGAAAACAUAGCAAUCCAUUUCAAUGUAAAUGUAUUGAACCUUGAAAAAUAAUUUCGAGGAUUACAUAGUACAACAUAGACGUCUACAACAUGCACGCAUACUCACACUAAUGAAUACACAUACGCAAACCAUACUCAUAUGAGCAUCUCCGAAGAAUUAAGCUGACAGAUCAUCUCGAGAUUCACAAAGUCAUUAAAGGCGUCUCGUUCUCGACGGGGACGUCACCUACCACUGGAAACAUAGCGUCGUUAAAUCUUGAAAUAAAUUUAGAAAAACAUGAGCACCCAUGCUAAGUCGACGAGGUGUUUGGGACUGCUCUGCUCCACUUUUUUCAGCUCCGCUCCACGUUUUUUAGCCAAACGGUUUCAGCUCCACGCACUGAGUUCGAGAAAAAAAAGUGGAGUUGUGAGAGCACCUAAAGAGGUACUCCACGAACUCCAGUUUUUUGUAGAGCUACUUCAUAGUGGAGUUUGUGAAGCAGAGUUCGUGGAGCAGUGCCAAACACCCCCUUAAACCUAGAUGGACAAGUUAACGUGAAAAAAUAGUUUAAUUUGCACUCCAGUCUUAUAGAUUUUUUUUGCGAGGACCAAUCUUAUAGAUCUAUAGUAAUUGAUUUUAUCUAGACAAUGUCUAAUAUUGCCACGUAGAACAAAUUAGCACCACCAGCAGAGAAACUUUAGAAAGAAGAUAUAUAAAUCAUAAGUUAUUCUAACUUUUUAAGUCAAAGCAUAUUAGUUGACCAAUUUUAUAGAAAAAUCUUAAAAGUUUUAUGAUAUUAAAUAGGUAUAUUAUAAAAAUAUAAUUAAUAAAAAUUUUAAUAAUACUUAUUUAAUAUUAUAAAGGUUUUAUAUUAUAUAAUAAAUUUUGUUAGAUUUGAGGUGAGUUGGAAUAAGUUAUAAUUUAGAAUGGAUAUUGUAGCUAGUAGAAGUACUCCCUCUAUUCUUGAAAGAUACAAUUUCUAGAGUUGUCUUAAAUCAAACUUUUAAAACUUUAACCGAAUUUCUAGAAAAAAGGUUAAGAUUUAUAGUAGUAAAUUGAUACCAUUAGAUCUAUCAUAGAAUAUAUUUUUAUAAAAUACUUAUUUUAUGAUAUAAAUAUUGAUGCUUUUUUGUAAAGAUCAUUAAAUUUUAAAAAAAUUAACCAACACGAAUUCUAGAAGUUGAAACUUUCAAUAAGGUCUUGUUUAGUUCACCCCAAAAACCAAAAUCUUUUCAAGAUUCCCCGUCACAUCGAAUCUUAUGGUACAUGCAUGGAGUAUUAAAUAUAGAUAAAAAUAAAAACUAAUUGUACAGUUUACCUGUAAAUCACGAGAUGAAUCUUUUAAGCCUAGUUACUCUACGAUUGGAUAAUGUUUGUCAAAUAAAAACGAAAAUACUACAGUUCCGAAAAUUUUUCAGUUUUCGAAACUAAACAAGGGCUAAAGAGUAGUGUUUAUGACAAAAGGAAAAAAAAAAAGAUCGGCACUUGGCACCCGGCCACCCGCCCUCCACCCUAGGCCCGACGCGACCCGACCCCCACCUAGACCGGUCUCGGUCGGACUCUCGGCGUCUCUCGCCACGCGCGGGCGCGCCGCAAACAGUCCUCCGCCCGCCGUCGUACCACCCCCACCCGUGCUUCCUCCGUCGGUUGGCUGCAACAAGUCGGCAGCGCCGCGCCCGCCUCCCGACGCCCCAAGCCCCCAAUCGCUCCUCCUCCAUUUCCCACCCAUCCAGAAGUCCGCCGGCGCAGAGGGACCAGGGUUCGCCGCCAGCAGAUGCAGUUGCAGGAGCAGGGUUCGCCGCCAGCGCCAGUAGACGCAGGAGCUCGGCGGAUCCACAUCGGAGGCGAGCUGAUCCUCUACAGAAGGUGCCCCGCUGCUCCUCCCGUAGUCCUGCUGCUCCCGUAUUUGAUUAAUUUCUCCGGCUGCGAAUCGACUCAUGGGGGAAGAAACAGUUUUAGACGACAACGCCCUGGCUUUCUCGGCGGGUACGUAAUCCCCGUCCAGGGACGGGGAUGGGGAUGGGGUGAAAGUGAAAAACCCUCCCCUGCGAGGUUUUACGGGGACGAGGACGGGGAUGGGGAAGCGUUCCCCGACGGCGAAUUUCCCGUUGCCAUCCGCUCGUCUGUGAUGCUGGAUACGACGAGGCCAUGGCCAUCGAGGCCCAUCUACCACAACGACGACGGCACUGCCUUUCUUCCAUGGCCACCCGUGGUUUCGCUGAAUCAGUGGUCCCAAACUGUCAUUUUGGAGUCGUUAUUUCUCCUCCUCCAAAACGCGAGGAGUAGCCAUCGACAUUCCGCUCGCUCAGGCGUUUAAUUUUGUCCACAAAAGCCGGGAUCAGCCGUUACUGGGCGUCUCUUUCUCUCGCUGAAACGAUUGCACGUGUCCUGUUGCUAGUAAUAAACUGGACAACGAGCGGGGCAGCUCAACAAGAGGCACAGCCAAACGAGAGAGAGAGAGAGGAGAGGAGAAAGGGAGGGAGGGCCGCCGCGCAUCCAUCCGUCCGGAGAUAAGAGGGGAGUGGAAGAAAAGAGGAGAAGAUGAGCAGCUGACUUUGCCUCCCCCGUUAUAAAAGGGAGGAGGGGGCAGGGAGGAAGCCGUCCAUAGAUUCCUCCGCCUCGUCACUCCACUCCUUGAGAUUUGAGAACCACAAGGGCCACCCCCCACCCACCCUCCAAGGUCCGUCCCCUCCUCCUCCUCCUCCUCCCUCACCUUCAGCACCAUCCUCUCCAUUCCUCCACACAGCAAUAUCUGUCAAUCCCCCCCGUUUUGUUUUCCUCUGUUGCAAUCAGUAGCGUGUACCCUGUAGCUGUAGCUUCCACUUUCUUGCUGUGUCGUACUGUGAUGGUGCAAAGAAGAUUCCUGUUCCCCCUUUUAGAUCACCUUUGUGCAUGCCUUUUCUUGUGGUCCGUGGGCAAGGAAGGAGGCCGAAAAUUGCAUCAAUGCCCCUCCCUUCUCUCUCUGUCUAUACCCCCUCAUACUGCAUCACGAUCAAGAGCAUGUAUGCAAGUUGGUCUUUCUAGGGAUGGCGAACUGACCGGCGAUUUUCUGGUUAUUCGUCCUGCAGGACAUGGCGGACGCCGUCGACCGCUUGAAGACCGGGUUCAACAAGUUCAAGACCGAGGUCUAUGAGUAAGUCAUCUCUCUACUCGAUCAGAGAGCUGUUGCUUUCUGCAGCCCCGGCGUUUGGUUUAAUCGUUUCAGUUUCAACCCCAUGGUGCUUGCUUUUUUUUUUGGGGGGAACUCUGAGAGCUCCGACUGAUCCUGUGCCUGCUUGAUUUUUGUUUUUUUCGCAGCAAGAAGCCGGAGCUGUUCGAGCCUCUCAAGGCCGGCCAGUCCCCCAAGGUAUGUGCUACUGCCAUACUUCGCUCUCUUCUCACCUCCCUUGUACGCCGCUAAGUUUUUCGUCUCUAGCGACUCCGGCCGGCCAGUUUUCGGUUAUCUGUCGUACUCGUAGGUGCUGCUGCUCCCGUGAUCCUCAGCACAGAUCCUGGAUGGUUAAUUAGACAAAACCGUGUUCAGUAAAUUCGGAUUUUCCGUGGGCCUCUGGGCAACGUCCGACUGGCCCACAGAUUUGGUGCUACUCUUGCUUGCUGGUUGCCCAUCUGCCUCAGAGAACCGCGUCGCUGCUAGUACUAGGCUCUGUAGCUCAUCAGUAUCCCUGCAUUGCAAUGCACUAUUCAUCGUCCACCCUGUCGUGUCCCUGGGUGCGCACGCAGCCACGCCGGUAAGGUGAGGUCAAAGUUGCAGUAGACAAAAGGAAACCUUUGUGCCGGUACCGAGGUCAAAGUUGCAGUAGACAAAAGGAAACGGAUUGUCCUAAUUGCACGGCUUAAAACUGAGGUGACAGCUUGUCGCCAUUAUAUUAGCGGCCAAUUGGCAAGUAGUUCUGUUUGGAUAUACUACAUAACUAGUCCUAUAAUUGCUUUGUGCAACAGUGCAAGUCUGCACCAUAGGGCACAAGCUUCAGCUUUGGCACUACCAGUCAUAGCGCAAAAGAAAUGGUGUAGUGGGAUAUACAUGCAUGCUUGCAAAGCAAAAUCCUUCACAGCUCCCACCGGCCACCACUGUGCCGGGCACUAACCCCAUGUGCGGCAUGCUAGCUGGUGAUUUGCAUUUGUUUGGUAAAUUAUUGAGAUGUCGCCGUCCCUAUAUAGGCUCACUUUGCAGAUGACGGAUAUAGUAGUACGUUAGUAUUAGUAUAUUGAUUUUCCUUCAGUUGACUAGUAUAAACCUGGUGCAAGAAUCUUGCAAGUACAGAGUUUAUUGUUUUAAUUUAUAGGAGUUUUGAGCUGGCAUCGAUCCCAUGCGCCUAAUUAGUAAAUACUUCAUGAAAUGCAUGCAUGCAUGGUAUAGCUAGCUGGUUCUACUGGUUUUUCCUACCCAUGAAAAUUACUAGUAGUCAAAUAUUCUUUGUAGUAAAGGAGAAGAUAAAAGCAGUCUAAUUUGGCGUACUCAGUCUGUGGAAAACAAAGAACUACUCUGCACAUUGUUUGAAUUAUAAUGGUCACUUCCACCUACUAGCCGUGUUGAAUUCUUUUUUUGAACAUAUGGUCACUUUCAUCAUUACAUUUGAAGGGGCAGCAACAGAUGGUGGUGACCAGCCAUUUCAGAUGUCUCAUCAUUUCGAUUUUUUUGUUUGACACUCACAUACACAACACAAACACAAAGAGACGUGAACCCCAAGUCUCCUUUACCUUAUAUGAUAGAACAGAAAUAAUGCAAGGGGAGCCAUGUACUAGAUAAGAACAGGUGUGUAUUAGCAUUCAUCAUUCCAUGGCUAAUGUGUGGUCCAGCCAUGAUUGAGCACAGGCCCCACCAUUCACCUCACGGGAUUCUUCUUUCUUCAUCGUCAGUAUAGAAGAGGAGUAGUUGGUUUGGACGUGUCCUCUCCCCUCUCCUCUCACACCCCUUGCAAAAAAGUUAGGCGCAUAAUUGUUGGGCAGCAGGGCCUAUUGGCGGUUGCUUUAGCAUUGAGAACACUGUGUAUUCGCAUCCAUAUCUCACUGGACAUGCCGAUCCUCGAGAAAAUAUGCUUUACUACACUACAGAUGUAUGUCUCAGAGUAUAUAUACACAAAAAAUAGUGGAAGAUGAUUGCAUUACGCCAUGGGUCCUAAUCACCUUUGUAUCCCCGGGUCCCUUUCCAAAUCAUGGCCUCCCAAGUCCCAAGUGUGAGCUAAUCCAAGCCAGAACAAAUAUUCCAGCGUCCUGCCUCCCGAAGACUCCUGAUGGCUGAUGCUGCUCUUUGCCGUCAAAUUAAAGCUUAAUCUGCACUAUUGAUUUGGACACCCACAUCCCAGGGCCACAUAAACCCGUCACAUGAAAUUCGUUAUCUGUUCAUUCACUUAUAUGCAUAUAUGCAGCCUCCCUUUUGCCUACCAACUUGGCCGGAAAUAUUCUUGCUUGGCAGCCGGGAAUAGGAUAGAUAAGCGUGUUUUUCCUUGGCCGCUGAUCUGCCCCGGGAGCACACGGAAACCAGCUUAGAAUAUCCUCGUCGCAACUUGUACUAGUAGCACGGAAGGAACCUUCCUGCAGCCUGGAUUUUGUCCAUCCUGCCCCUGUAAAAAAAAGAGCAUUGGAACAACAAAGACAGGCGGGUCAAAACUCACAAAAGCUGCCGCCUUUUGGCUUUGGUUGCCAGCUUGCAAAUCCACCACAGCCAGAAUCGUGUAGUACUCCACUGAUCAGGACCGAUCUGCCUACCUGCUUAUCGAUAAGAGCCGUGGGAACUGGACUGAAUUUUGCCGGCUCUCCCUCUUUUCACCGACCUCUGAUGGUGAUCUUCCUCUGCUAACACGCAGUACAUGGUGUUUGCGUGCUCCGACUCCCGUGUGUGCCCGUCGGUGACCCUGGGUCUGCAGCCCGGUGAGGCCUUCACCGUCCGCAACAUCGCCGCCAUGGUCCCAGCCUACGACAAGGUACGCGUCCACACUGACCGACGCAUUGGACGUCUAAUUUUUUCAAGCCCGGCCGCCGUGGAACAUUGACGGACGACUAACAUGGUUGCCUUUCGUUUUUGUCACCUGCAGACCAAGUACACCGGCAUUGGGUCUGCCAUUGAGUACGCCGUGUGCGCCCUCAAGGUGCAGGUCCUCGUCGUCAUUGGCCACAGCUGCUGUGGUGGCAUCAGGGCGCUCCUCUCCCUCCAGGAUGGCGCACCUGACACCUUGUAAGUCAUCAUCCCUAGAAUAUAUACAAAUUUCAUUUAGGUUAAGAAACAAGACUCGUGUGCCUCGAUCGAUCUCGUGUCAUGAAUUUGAUCCUAGCAUUGUUGUCCGUUUGUUUGGUGGUGUAUGUACGCAGCCACUUCGUUGAGGACUGGGUCAGGAUCGGCUUCCCUGCCAAGAUCAAGGUGAAGAAAGAGCACGCUUCGGUGCCGUUCGAUGACCAGUGUUCCAUCCUGGAGAAGGUACGUACACCGUACACGCACGAGCUGUUAGUUAUUGGAUGAAUAAUGGAUUGGUUUUGCUCACCAAAGGACCUUGUAUUUUCUGAAUAUUUGUGCAGGAGGCCGUGAACGUGUCCCUCGACAACCUCAAGACGUACCCCUUCGUCAAGGAAGGGCUGGCCAACGGGACCCUCAGGCUGGUCGGCGGCCACUACAACUUCGUGUCAGGGGAGUUCGACACAUGGGAAAUUAAGAGCUAAGCUGCCCGGCCGGCCGCUUAACAACUCCUACCAUCAUCAUAAAUAUAUAUACUACAUACCUACCGAUAUGCACCCGAUCGAUGUGAAUGCGUGGAGUAUUACUCAUGUUUUCUGCAUGCAGCGACAUAUAUAUAUAUAUACCGGAUCGCCCAAUGUGAAUGUAAUAAGUAAUAGCAUUUUCUACCGCUUUUAUUUCUAACGCCGAGCUUUCAUGUACUAUAUAAUGUGUUAUAUGAUGAGUAAUUUGACCGCCCUGUGGUCAAAAGACAUCAGCUAUAAUCCUUUUUUCGCAAUAUUUAUUAUGAAGCGUUUACCUCUUGUACUGCCUUUACUGUUCAUCUUUUCUGUCUCUCUAUGAAAUGCUGAUAUAUGACACCAUUUAUGUGAG
rnacentral:lncRNA from 1 species